UAAACUCUUAGAUAUUUAUAAAGAUAAUCAAGAUCUUGAAUAUCUCAUAAAUUAUAUCUAUGUUGAAGGAAGGUGUUCUUUUGCUGGAGUUUUAGGCUCUUCGACAAAUCCGGAAUUAUAUAAGUUGUACGACGUUGUUGGGAUGUUCUAUUCUUGAGGGUACAUGUCAAGAGAUAUAUUGUUGGAUCAGUGUAGAUUAUACCACAAUGGACUUGAAUCUCGUUAAAGAGAAAGAAAUAUUUGAGACUGAAUAUUAUUUAUAUAUUUUUUAUACAUUUUGUUUCAAUUGUAAUUUAUUAUAAUUUGUGGUAUAUUCACCCAGCAGAAUGUUAUCAGACCUUAUCGUAUGAAUAGGAUAUAGGUACCUACAUUAUGGCGAAAUGUCACUAUAACUUUUCCCACUCGUAAUCACUAAGAGACAC
rnacentral:lncRNA from 1 species